GGUGGUGGGGGGGGGGUCCCAUUUGGGACGCAGACGGAUACAAGAUUAAACCACUCAACAAGUAGUUCCAUCAUGCUUCCUAUUCCCAUCAAAACAGGUUAUUCAAUAUGUCAGACAGACAAAUCAUUUAGAAAAGAAAAAAACAUCUGGGUAUAAAAAAUAAAAACAGCAUCAUGCAGGAAGCCAUAAAUAAACAUGUUUUGAAUCAUAAAAAAAAAGUCCUUCAAGCUUUUAAAAUAUAUUGGUUUUCAAAGCUGCUCCUUCAGUACCAUGUCAAUUCUUCUUGUAAAUAAAUGUCUCCUAGAUUAAAAAGUUAAAACACAAGAAUCUGAAAACAUCCCACUUUUGUUCUUAACCAGCUGCUCUUGGGCACAACACCAUAUCUAUUAUUAUUCAGUGUGUUUGUAAUAUCGUUGGUAAAGCAUUAGCAGCUAGUGACUACACACAAGCAAAAUACAACCAAUUCAUACAAAAACCUUUGUAAAUAUCAAAUAUAUAAAAGUGAAAAAAAAGGGGAGGGUUGUGUUUAGAAAAUAUAUGCAGUCAACAUAAAGAAUAUCAAACCAGUCAACUUUGGUGAAAAACACCUUAGUACAAAUAAAAUAACACUCUCCCAAAAUGUGCCAAAGCUAAGGCCGGAUUUCUCUCUCCACUUUCCCAGGUUAUCAAAAAAGUCUAACGUUUCCAAAAUCGUUAAACACAUAAAACUUGAAAUUUGUUUUGUCCUUGAAAUUGAGCCAAACUAAUUUCAAACUUCAAAUCACUUAAUAUAUUUCCCUACCUUUUUCUAUUUGAAAAUGAAACCCAUUAUGUUUUAAAACUUGGGGCUGUCAAAGUUAACUUGUUAAUAACGCGUGACAUUUGUAAUUCCUUAAAAACAAAAUUGGACACCGUUAAUCAUGUCUCCAUUUCUUCAUCACACGGACCCUUUUUGAGCGCCCGUUUCCACACGGACCGUUUUAAGCGCAACACACAACACGCUCUGUGCCCGGUCACCCUCUCAGUCCGUGUGACCUCGGUCUCAGUAGCGCUGUCGGCCUCUUGUGGUGCACUACGCGCACAGCUUUCAACAACAGUUAAACUGGAAAACUGACAUGAAGUUCAACCAUAAACACAUUCCCAGGCGUUUCUUUAGGUAACAGCAAGAACAUCAUUUGUACAAAAGCAGUUAGCUAGUUAUGCUAACGCUAGCUAGCCAACCAAACUAAAUGUUUACAAUGCCCCGCCUGAUUGUAUCUUGAAUCAACUAGUUAGCUAACUUCCCACAAUGAUUUUAAUCAAAAACAGGAAAUCCAUUCCAUUUACCUAACGUUACUAUUUUAGUUUUUCAGGUUAAGUUCAGAAAAGUAUCCCAAUUCUAUUAGCAGUUUGUGACUAGUUGAUGUUGAAGAACAUGGAUCAGUAUCCUAGGCUACAUCUAAUACCUUGUAUUAUAUCUGACAUGACCUCAGGCCUGGCUGAUCGGUUGUUAAUGUAUUCUGUAGAAGUCAUAACAUUGGACAGGUUUAAAAAGCUCGUUGUCUCCAUGGAUACAGUUCUAUUUUCCUUAUAGUCAACACUCCAAUCAGAAAAACACUCAUUGAGAACGCCUGAAGCUUUCAGUACUUGAGUGUGUGUGGCAAAUGAGGAAGUGUUAAACUUCAAGAACAUUGAUAAGAGGGAGAAGGCCUACUGAAACAUUGAUAAAGAGGGAGUAGGCCUACUGAAACAUUGAUAAGAGGGAGUAGGCCUACUGAAACAUUGAUAAAGAGGGAGUAGGCCUACUGAAACAUUGAUAAGAGGGAGUAGGCCUACUGAAACAUUGAUAAGAGGGAGUAGGCCUACUGAAACAUUGAUAAGAGGGAGUAG
rnacentral:lncRNA from 1 species